GGUUGUGUAGUGUAGUGGUAAUCACAUCUGCUUAACAUGCAGAAGGGCCUGGGUCAAAUUCCCAGCAGAACCA